AAGUGAGAAGCAAACAUCUUGCAAUCAGUUUCGACCUGAUCUUAGAUAAAAUUUAUCCUCACUUU
rnacentral:tRNA from 1 species